ensembl:misc_RNA Metazoa_SRP Metazoan signal recognition particle RNA
GCAGGGCACCGUGGUGCACCCCUGUAGUCCCAGCUACUCGGGAGCCUGAGGCGGGAGGACUGCUCGAGCCCAGGAGUUCUGGACUGCAGCACAGUAUGGCUCAGGUGUCCUCACUAAGUUUGGCAUCAAUAUGGUGACCUCUGAGGAGCAGGGACUACAAGGUUGCCUAAGGAGGGAUGAACAGGCCCAGGGAGAAAACGAGGCAGGUCAAAACUCCCAUGCUGAUCAGUAGUAGGAUCGCCCCUGUGAAUAGCCACAGCAUUCCAGCCUGGGCAACAUAGCAAGACCCUGUCUCU